UAUUCACAAGCUUUCAGACCGCGAGAAGCUCAUUAUAGACCAGUGCAUCAUGAAAGCAAAUAUGAAGUCUGCGAAAGCAGCACGGUGUCCUCAUGUUUGAUGAGAUGAGCGUGAGAAAGAGCCUUCACGUCAGGGAAUCGGAUAUGGCACUGCUUGGAAAGGUGGACUUAGCAGAGCACACGAAGCCGACUGACCAAGUGAAAGAUGGGGACCACGUGUUGGUGUUCCUUUUCCGACCAUUCCUUGGUGGCUGGUCGCAGACUGUCGGAGCGUUUUGCACGUCCGGGGCUGCACCAGGAUCCACUGUUGCCAAACUGAUCCUGCAGUGCAUUGUACUCCUAUCGAAUGCCGGCGUCAUUGUGGAGGCAGUCACUUGCGAUAACUCAACUUCGAACCGAUCAGCACUGAACUCCUUGGGUGUCAGUGGUGAUGUCACAAGAGUAUCAACA